GAUGAAGAACGCAGUGAAAUGCGAUAAGUAAUGUGAAUUGCAGAAUUCAGUGAAUCAUCGAAUCUUUGAACGCACAUUGCGCUCGCCAGUAUUCUGGCGAGCAUGCCUGUUCGAGCGUCAUUUCAACCAUCAAGCUCUGCUUGCGUUGGGGAUCCGCGUCUGACGCGGUCCCUCAAAAACAGUUGGCGGGCUCGCUAGUCACACCGAGCGUAGUAACUCUACAUCGCUAUGGUCGUGCGGCGGGUUCUUGCCGUAAAACCCCCAAUUUUUUACAAUGGUUGACCUCGGAUCAGGUAGGAAUACCCGCUGAACUUAAGCAUAUCGAUAAGCGGAGGA
rnacentral:misc_RNA from 1 species